AUCUCCUAUUUCCCACACAGAUCUAAAAGCAAGGUUGGUCUUUAGUUUCUCUUACUUUCGGUAAAACUCUGCGGAUGAAAUCUUACUCUCAUAGGUCUCGUCAGCAACAGAGUUUACUGAUAAAGAAUCAGAAAAGCAUGACGAAUCUGAUGAUGGAGAACAAGAGAAGCAACAAGGGCUAAAGCAAGAACGUGAGAGUUUGGAGAAGAAAAGAUGAAGAAGGGUUGAGAGGAAGAACAAGCAGAAUUAGUUGACGAUUUGAGUGUAGUAAAACAAAGAAAAUAGAGACAAUGAUAACAUGAUGGAACUAUCAUAUUCGGCUAUCGCAAAGCUUGAUCAAGCAAAACAGAAUGAGAUCCAACAUUCUUCAUAAAAAUUAGAAGGUUAUCUACUUUACUUCGUCUUUGUUACUCUUGAUGGUUUUGGUUUUGGCAAUUUCAGUUCCAAACUAAUUCAGGCUAUCCACAAGCUUUCCUUUCGGCAUCAAGACUUCAAGGACUAUUGUUGCUUUGGAGAAGGCAGUGAAGUGAGAAUUGCUUGGAAUGAGACAACCUAAGUUCUUUGAAGGAGAGAAAGAGCAAGCUAAUGGGAAGGCAACGCACAUAGAGGGGAUGAGAUUGAAGUUGUCUUUAGAAUGUUAGCUUUAUUUUGUUUAAAACUUGGUAUGAUGUUAUGUUAAAAUGGAUAAUGUAAUAAUAUUGUUAUGUAUGUUGAUGAUUUAUGAAAUAUAAACAUUAUAUUAUAAAUCCAAUUAAA